rnacentral:lncRNA from 1 species
GAUCCCACGUUGCUGUGGCUGUGGUGUAGGCUGACAGCCAUAGCUCUGAUUUGACCCCUAGCCUGGGAACCUCCAUAUGCCAUGGGUGCCACCCUAAAAAGCAAAAAAAAAAAAAAAAAACCCACUGUAAGCAAACUGGUUAAAAUAACAUUGGAAAAACUUAACAGCUUAGGCCAGAAACAGAUGUUUGAAAGUAAAUGACUUUUUUUCUUGAUCAUGUGCAGUACCAAAUGUGAGGCAGGUAUAAAUGAAGGAGAAGGCCACAUGAUACCAGAGUUAUUUCAAAUAACUUCAGAGAUCCUUAUAGAAGGAAAAGUUACAAAAAUUAAAAUGAGGAAAAUAGAAUUUUAAAAUGGCAGGUGGAUUUGGAAGUGGGGAAGACUCUUCAGGACAGUAAUUCAGAGCUUCGUAAACGUAUUCAAGUGAAGUGGAGACUGAUGAAACUGACAAAUCUGAAUUGUCUUGGAAAACUUGCCCAAAGCAGCCAAAGAGCAGAUGGAAGGAUGAUGAUGGCGAACACGCUACAUGCCACUUAACUCCAGUUGGGCGAUGGACCAUUAGACUAAAGAUGAGAAAGAGAAAGGAAAACAAAGUUUAACACAAAAGGAAAGAAGUAAGCAAGCUAGCUACUUUCAAUGUACCCUGCCUGAUUUUAUUUCAAACCGCUCUUUAGGGAAUCAGAAGUACAUCCACUCCUGCAAGCAGGCAGUGGAAACCACCUUUGUGUCCCUCACAAGGCUCAUUUGCUCAUACAGCAAAAGAAUGAACAAGAUUGCAGCAUCAACAGUUCCCAUCAUGGCUCAGUGGAAAUAAAUCUGACUAGUAUCCAUGAGAACAGAGGUUCGAUCCCGGGCCUUGCGCAGUGGGUUAAGGAUCCAGCGUUGCCGUGAGCUGUGGUGUAGGUCGCAGAUGUGGCUCGGAUCUGGUGUUGCUGUGGCUGUAGUGUAGGCCAGUGGCUACAGCUCCGAUUGGACCUCUGGCCUGGGCCCUAAAAGAUAAAUAAAUAAAUAAAUAAAUAAAUAAAUAAAUAAAUGUCCUGAUUGGCCAGAUCCUUAGCACAGCAUUUAGACACCAACGUGAUUUCAUUGUAAUGACAUUAGUCAAGAAUUUGGAAGAAAUUCUUGAGGAACUGAAAUUAAGUAACAAUAAUAAAGGCCCAGAGAUUCUCUGGAUUUCAAAAACUGUAGACUGGCUGGUUUUACUUGGGGCCUAAAGAAAGCACUAGGCCUUAUUUUUAGAAACCCACUGGGAAUAAUGACAAACUUCUCUUCAUUAAGGGGAACGAACCUGGGUUGCAGGAAAACAUGGCUGCUAUCAGUCACAGAAGUAAUAAGAGACGUCAUUUGAAGAUACUAGCGCUGAAGCGGAUGAAAGAGAAAAAGCCAACAUCAUAAGUAGAUUGCCUCAAAGGGUCUGAGACCAUUUCAUGCUCAGAGUAAAAGCUGGAAAGGGCAGUCAGAGAAACGCUAAUAACGGCCCUUCAGCACUCAGUGUUAAAGCUCAGAUGCAAGACAGAAAGAUGCUGUAACCUCAGGUUCUUCAAAUGUUUGGGGAGCAGUACUCUAUCUGUGAAAUUGCCAUGUACUGAGGAGUAGUCUUUAUUAAAAAUAAAUAAUAGAUUACAACUUGCCUUAAAACAUGCUCCAAUAGGAUAUUAAGAACCAUGACUGAGAAAUGAAAAUUCAGUCUGAUACAAUGCUUGUAAGGCAGGGCUCUAGCUCAUCGAUGCUGCCCCCAGGAGAAGAUAUGAGCAGAUAAAAGUAUAGAUCUAGGAGGUCCCGUUGUGUCUCAGUGGUUAAUGAAUCCGACUAGGAACCAUGAGGUUGCGGGUUCAAUCCCUGGCCUUGCUCAGUGGGUUAAGGAUCCAGCGUUGCCGUGAGCUGUGGUGUAGGUCACAGAUGCGGCUCAGGUCCUGUGUUGCUAUGGCUGGGGGGUAGGCUGGCAACUGUAGCUCCGAUUGGACCCCUAGUAUGGGAAUCUCCAUAUGCCACGGAUGCAGCCCUAAAAGGCCAAAACAAAAAAACUUGUUUGUGGUGUCAGGCUAGUAGUUAACCUUGUCAGUGCGGUGAGGAGGUGUGAUGACCAGGAGGUACACAGCCUUAAUAAUCCCAGUUAUUUUUGUCCUCUCCCUCACAUUUUUUGGUCAUUCUUGGACUGUUUGGGAUAACAAAUCACAAGCAAGCAUGCCUUGCUUCUAACAGGCACUGCAAUGUUCCUAUUAUUUCCCUCUUUAUUCCUUAGCUGGCUAUUCAUUGAAAGAUCUGAACUUUCCCUGCAUGGGCCAACGCUGGAUCCUAAUUUCUAGGAGAUUCACAUCACACUGGAGUCUGGGGUCCGUAGCUGCUGAUUUCUUAAUGCAGAAACCGCCCUGUUGUUUGCAAAAUCCAAGGCUUAUGCUGAAUGUGCUGCAAUGUGCAGUAUCCUCUGUCAGGGCUCUGCGGUGUAUAAAGUGCUUUGAUGCAGUGGGAGAACAAGGCCCUCCCCUCAAUGCCUCUGCUGUCCACACAGAGUAAGUGUCUUCCUACAACGUUGUCAAAUGAAAGAGAACCACAGUCGUGCCGAUGAAGCAGAUUUUUGCCUAGUGACCUGCUGGAAAAUGUAAUCAGAGCUUUCCUUUAAUGGACUGAAAAUCCAAACCAAUUAGAAAACUGUCUGACCCAAACCGUAGUGUAGUUCAGGACUACCAGAGAGGCUAUUGUCUUUCAUGUACUUCACCUCUCCCCUGAAAAAAGCUCCCUUGCUUUCGAAUGGGUUAAAAUUAUGCCCGGGGAAGCAAAACUAUAAAUGGUCUGCCUUGAAAGGGGCAGACUUCAAAAUGAUAUCCUGAAUCCUUACCCUUCGCAAGAUGAAACCUGUUACUGGAGAAGCCUAGCUGCUGAUUUUACAGCAAAAGAUCUGGAGAAGUAUGGGAAGAGAAACUAAUAAAUUGAUACUUACUAAAAAUAGUAAUGAGGGAGUUCCCAUUGUGGCUCAGCAGGUUAAGAACCUGACUUGUAUCCAUGAGGAUGCGGGUUCAAUCCCUUGCUUCGUCUCGAUCAGUGAGUCAAGGAUCUGAUGUUGCCAAAAGCUGCAGCGUACGUCACAGACACAGCUUGGCUCUGGCAUUGCUGUGGCUGUGGCUAGACCAGCAGCUGCAGCUCCAAUUUGACCCCUAGCCCAGAACUUCCAUGUGCUGUGGAUGUGGUC